rnacentral:misc_RNA from 1 species
UAUUCCAAACAAAACCUAUAUAAAACCUGAUGUACAUUUUGUUGUUUUUUUGGCAUCAAUUUUUUCAAGUUCCAGUACUCCAUUGUUCCACAAGAUGUUUUUGGCAUUGAUUUUUUCAAGUUCCAUUACUUCAUUGUUCCACAAGAUGUUUUACUGAGGUAGGCAAUCGUUACCCAGAUUUCUUCCAGCAAUCAUAGAACAAUGAAUGACUUCAAGAACCUUUACGUUUACCUAUCUAUGUAAAUUAUGCCAAUUGCAAAAAUGCAUCAUGUAGAGAGUAAUGUUCUAGUCUACCUAAAAACAGCCAAUCACUGUAGUGGGAACUAAAAAUAAGCCAGCUGAUGGAGUUGAGUCACCUAUCCAAUUUGGCAUUAACUUGCAAAAAUAAUGAACCGUAGUGUUUUAUUUGCUUGUCCUCCUAUUGAAUCUUUGCUGUUGAGAAAUUCACAGCUCAAGUUUCAUUUGCCACCUGACAUUUGUAGCUGAUUCCUUGUUUUUCAUCCAUCAGGCCACAGAGAUUGAAGAAUUG